rnacentral:rRNA from 1 species
AGAGUUUGAUCCUGGCUCAGAACGAACGCUGGCGGCGGUCCAGACUCCUACGGGAGGCAGCAGUGGGGAAUAUUGCACAAUGGGCGAAAGCCUGAUGCAGCGACGCCGCGUGAGGGAUGACGGCCUUCGGGUUGUAAACCUCUUUCAGCAGGGAAGAAGCGAAAGUGGCGGUACCUGCAGAAGAAGCGCCGGCUAACUACGUGCCAGCAGCCGCGGUAAUACGUAGGGCGCAAGCGUUGUCCGGAAUUAUUGGGCGUAAAGAGCUCGUAGGCGGCUUGUCACGUCGAUUGUGAAAGCCCGAGGCUUAACCUCGGGUCUGCAGUCGAUACGGGCUAGCUAGAGUGUGGUAGGGGAGAUCGAAAUUCCUGGUGUAGCGGUGAAAUGCGCAGAUAUCAGGAGGAACACCGGUGGCGAAGGCGGAUCUCUGGGCCAUUACUGACGCUGAGGGGCGAAAGCGUGGGGAGCGAACAGGAUUAGGUACCCUGGUAGUCCACGCCGUAAACGGUGGGAACUAGGUGUUGGCGACAUUCCACGUCGUCGGUGCCGCAGCUAACGCAUUAAGUUCCCCGCCUGGGGAGUACGGCCGCAAGGCUAAAACUCAAAGGAAUUGACGGGGGUCCGCACAAGCGGCGGAGCAUGUGGCUUAAUUCGACGCAACGCGAAGAACCUUACCAAGGCUUGACAUACACCGGAAAGCAUUAGAGAUAGUGCCCCCCUUGUGGUCGGUGUACAGGUGGUGCAUGGCUGUCGUCAGCUCGUGUCGUGAGAUGUUGGGUUAAGUCCCGCAACGAGCGCAACCCUUGUCCCGUGUUGCCAGCAGGCCCUUGUGGUGCUGGGGACUCACGGGAGACCGCCGGGGUCAACUCGGAGGAAGGUGGGGACGACGUCAAGUCAUCAUGCCCCUUAUGUCUUGGGCUGCACACGUGCUACAAUGGCCGGUACAAUGAGCUGCGAUACCGUGAGGUGGAGCGAAUCUCAAAAAGCCGGUCUCAGUUCGGAUUGGGGUCUGCAACUCGACCCCAUGAAGUCGGAGUCGCUAGUAAUCGCAGAUCAGCAUUGCUGCGGUGAAUACGUUCCCGGGCCUUGUACACACCGCCCGUCACGUCACGAAAGUCGGUAACACCCGAAGCCGGUGGCCCAACCCUUGUGGAGGGAGCUGUCGAAGGUGGGACUGGCGAUUGGGACGAAGUCGUAACAAGGUAACCGU